AUGGCGGCCUUUGCAAAGAUCGCCAUGGAGUGCCUGCACGAUCCCCUCAUCUGGCUUCUUCUUGCGUCGGUGGCCUUGGUCAUCCUGCAAAGACGGCGGCUGAACCCGCCGCCGCUCCCUCCAGGCCCCAAGCCGCUGCCGAUCAUCGGCAACAUGAUGAUGGCGGACCAGUUGACCCACCGUGGCCUGGCGGCGCUGGCAAAGCAGUACGGCGGGUUGCUGCACCUCCGCCUGGGCUCGCUCCGCGUCUUCGCGGUGUCGACCCCGGAGUACGCGCGCGAGGUGCUCCAGGCGCAGGACAGCGACUUCUGGUACCGUCCAGCCUCCAUCGUCAUCCGCUACCUCACCUACGGCUGCUCCGACAUGGCGUUCGCGCACGACGGGCCCUACUGGCGCCAGAUGCGCAAGCUGUGCGUCACCAAGCUCUUCAGCCGCCGGCGCGCCGAGACCUGGCUGGCCGUGCGCGACGGGUACGGGGAGCUCGCCAGGGCCGUCGGCAGGUCCAGCGGCGAGGCCGUGAACCUCGGCGAGCUCAUCUUCAAGCACACCGUGAGCAUCAUCUUCCGGGCCGCCUUCGGCGUGCGGGACGUCCAAGGGCUAGACGAGUUCAUCCCCAUGUUCAAGGAGUUCUCCAAGUUCUUAGAAGCGUUCCACGUCGGUGACUUCUUCCCUUGGCUUAGCUGGAUGGGCCGGCGGGGCUUCGACCGCGGCCUCCGCACCGUGCGCGGCGCUCUCGGAACGUUUGUGGACAAGAUCAUUGACGAGCACGUGAGGAGGGGCAAGAACCCCGACGACGCCGACGCUGACAUGGUAGACGGCCUACUCGCGCUCCUCGCUGAUGCGAACCAAGCCAGCGGGGAGGACGACCUCCGCUUCACCCGCGACAACGUUAGGGCCAUGAUGAUGGACAUGUUGUUCGGUGGACCGGACACGGUGGGGUUCACCAUUGAGUGGGCGAUGGCAGAGAUGAUUCAUUGCCCUGACAUCCUUCUGCGGCUGCAGCAGGAGCUCGUCGACAAUGUGGGGCUUGACCGGAUUGUUGACGAAUUGGACCUUGGCAAGCUCCCCUUCCUCAAGUGUGUCAUCAAGGAGAUGCUCCAAAUGCACCCACCGAUCCCGAUUCACCUCCACGGGAACACCAAAGAUUGCGUCCUCGGUGGCUACUCAGUGCCCAGCGGCUCCCGUGUGUUCAUCAACGCGUGGGCGAUCAACCAUGACGGCGAGGCGUGGAAGAACCCUGACACGUUCCGACCAUCGAGGUUCAUGCCAGAUGAGGAAGCCACCGGGCUGGAUCUCAAGGGUGGCUGCUAUGAGUUAUUGUCGUUCGGUUCGGGUCGACGCUCGUGCCCAGCACAGGGGCUUGGUCAGCACGCCGUGGAGUUUGCCAUCGCGCAGCUUGUGCAUGGGUUCAACUGGAAGCUACCCGGUGACAUGAAACCAACGGAGCUCGACAUGAGCGACAUGAACGGUGUCACCGUGUCCCGCGCCACACGACUCUAUGCGGUUCCCACACCCCGGCUCACUUGUCCUUUGUAA
rnacentral:rRNA from 1 species